UACGGAGGAUGCAAGCGUUAUCCGGAAUCAUUGGGCGUAAAGCGUCCGCAGGUGGCCAGUCAAGUCUGCUGUUAAAAACAGAAGCUCAACUUCUGAAUGGCGGUGGAAACUGGCUGGCUAGAGUAUGGUAGGGGUUGAGGGAAUUCCCAGUGUAGCGGUGAAAUGCGUAGAUAUUGGGAAGAACACCAGUGGCGAAGGCGCUCAACUGGGCCAUAACUGACACUCAGGGACGAAAGCUAGGGUAGCGAAAGGG
rnacentral:rRNA from 1 species